AUUCCGGUGGACUUGUUUUCCAAGACGAACUCUGCGAAUCUCACCUUUGAGAAGUCCCAACGCCAUCCCUCUUACAUAAUGCCAAAGAAACAAAAAGGUCUUGGAAAACCGCACUAAUCCCGCGGCUGUCCAAUAUGUACUGUGAUAUUAACACACCUCUGCCCCAAAUGACUGUGAUAUAUAUUGUUUAUAUGAAACUUUAUUAUCCAAUUUUCUAUUGGAUGUAUGCCUUGUGACACUACGACUUUCUUCACCUAAAUGCAAAGUGCAUCCUGUACCCGCAAGUUCUUCCAUUCAGAAUAAAUCGUCGCCAGUUCUAUCCUCAUAAGAUGUGGAUGAAGCAGACGACUAAUUUGACAACGCGUCUAGUUCAGUGCUAAAGCUCCCGAGGACUGAACGGAAGACAGCAAAUGCACUCUAAAUGUCCAUUUAUAAAAUGCAUUCCGGCAGUGUACGUGAUCCAUUCCAAAAACUAGUCUUUUUAAUGCAUUCAAGUAUACCAUUUGAUGUAAUAAAAACGAUUGAAAAUUU
rnacentral:misc_RNA from 1 species